rnacentral:rRNA from 1 species
ACCUACGGGAGGCAGCAGUGGGGAAUUUUGGACAAUGGGCGAAAGCCUGAUCCAGCCAUGCCGCGUGAGUGAAGAAGGCCUUCGGGUUGUAAAGCUCUUUCAGACGGAAAGAAAUCUUCUGGGCUAAUACCCUGGGAGGAUGACGGUACCGUAAGAAGAAGCACCGGCUAACUACGUGCCAGCAGCCGCGGUAAUACGUAGGGUGCGAGCGUUAAUCGGAAUUACUGGGCGUAAAGCGUGCGCAGGCGGUGAUGUAAGACAGAUGUGAAAUCCCCGGGCUCAACCUGGGGACUGCGUUUGUGACUGCAUCACUCGAGUACGGCAGAGGGAGGUGGAAUUCCGCGUGUAGCAGUGAAAUGCGUAGAGAUGCGGAGGAACACCGGUGGCGAAGGCAGCCUCCUGGGCCAGUACUGACGCUCAUGCACGAAAGCGUGGGGAGCAAACAGGAUUAGAUACCCCUGUAGUC